rnacentral:rRNA from 1 species
UGCAAGUCGAGCGAAGCACUUAUGAAAGAUUCUUCGGAUGAUUUCAUUUGUGACUGAGCGGCGGACGGGUGAGUAACGCGUGGGUAACCUGCCUCAUACAGGGGGAUAACAGUUGGAAACGACUGCUAAUACCGCAUAAGCGCACAGUACCGCAUGGUACAGUGCGAAAAACUCCGGUGGUAUGAGAUGGACCCGCGUCUGAUUAGCUAGUUGGUGGGGUAACGGCCUACCAAGGCGACGAUCAGUAGCCGACCUGAGAGGGUGACCGGCCACAUUGGGACUGAGACACGGCCCAAACUCCUACGGGAGGCAGCAGUGGGGAAUAUUGCACAAUGGGGGAAACCCUGAUGCAGCAACGCCGCGUGAGUGAAGAAGUAUUUCGGUAUGUAAAGCUCUAUCAGCAGGGAAGAAAAUGACGGUACCUGACUAAGAAGCCCCGGCUAACUACGUGCCAGCAGCCGCGGUAAUACGUAGGGGGCAAGCGUUAUCCGGAUUUACUGGGUGUAAAGGGAGCGUAGACGGCGAGACAAGUCUGAAGUGAAAGCCCGGGGCUCAACCCCGGGACUGCUUUGGAAACUGCCUUGCUAGAGUGCUGGAGAGGUAAGUGGAAUUCCUAGUGUAGCGGUGAAAUGCGUAGAUAUUAGGAGGAACACCAGUGGCGAAGGCGGCUUACUGGACAGUAACUGACGUUGAGGCUCGAAAGCGUGGGGAGCAAACAGGAUUAGAUACCC